rnacentral:tRNA from 1 species
GCGGGCGUGGUGGAACUGGUAGACACGCUGGAUUUAGGUUCCAGUGGCCCUGGCCAUGGGGGUUCAAAUCCCUCCGCCCGCA